ACUCCUGUAGCCCAACGGCAGAGGCGGCUGUCUCAAAAACAGUCCAAGUGUGAGUACCGUUUCACGGAAGCAAGCUACAAUUCUCACCAGGAGUACCA
rnacentral:tRNA from 1 species